rnacentral:rRNA from 1 species
UACGGGGGGGGCAAGCGUUGUUCGGAAUUACUGGGCGUAAAGGGCUCGUAGGUGGCCAACUAAGUCGGACGUGAAAUCCCUCAGCUUAACUGGGGAACUGCGUCCGAUACUGGAUGGCUUGAGUUUGGGAGAGGGAUGCGGAAUUCCAGGUGUAGCGGUGAAAUGCGUAGAUAUCUGGAGGAACACCGGUGGCGAAGGCGGCAUCCUGGACCAACACUGACACUGAUGCGCGAAAGCCAGGGGAGCGAACGGG